CAUCUGGCUCUUUCUUCCACAACACCUUUCUCCCAUCUAUCCUUCUCCUGUGAGAACUGCGUGCCUGACAUCUACCUGCUAGCCAUGGACCCCAACUGUGACUGCGUGAGCGGUGGCUCCUGUACUUGUGCAGCCUCCUGCAAAUGUAAAUCCUGCCGAUGCACCUCCUGCAAGAAAAGUUGCUGCUCUUGCUGCCCAGCAGGAUGUGCCAAGUGUGCCCAAGGUUGUAUCUGCAAAGCCCCCCAGUCGGAGAGUUGUAGCUGCUGCCACUGAUGCUCCUGUCUCUCCAUGCCUGUAAAUAGAAGAAUUUGUAUACACCUGACUUUUCAUAUGCUUUGGACAUAUUUUUCUAUUUUUUCCUAUAAAAUGUGUGAAUCAACAAGCUUUUAUUAAGCAUUUAAUAUGACAAUAAACUCACUGAAUCCUC